rnacentral:misc_RNA from 1 species
GGAAGACCUAUAUGCUGAACAAAAUAAAAUUGAGCAAUUAGCUAAGAGACUCUGCUGGAAAAAGUUUGUUGAGAAGGAUGAUAUCGCAAUAUGGCAGAAGCCGUUCAAUCAUAUGAAGUGUACAGAAUUUCGAAACAGAAACAAAAAUCCACCAAUGUGUCCUACCCAAGAUCCCGAUAAAGCCUGGUAUACAAAGAUUGAGACUUGCUUAACUCCCUUGCCAGAAGUUGCAAGUGAAGAAGACCUGGCUGGUGGACAAUUGGAAAAGUGGCCUAAAAGAUUAAACGCAAUACCACCGAGGAUAAGCAGG